rfam:Oryza sativa Japonica Group DNA, chromosome 1, cultivar: Nipponbare, complete sequence.
AAAAAGACAAACCUUGAGUUUCCGUGUUCAAUUUUGACUGUUUGUCUUAUAUGAAAUUUUUUUAUAAUUCGUAUUUUCAUUGUUGUUAGAAGAUAAAACAUGAUUAAUAUUUUAUGCGUGACUUAUCUUUUUAAUUUUUUUUAUAUUUUUUUUAAAUAAGACGGAUGGUCAAACGUUGAGCAUGGAAAACAGGGUUUAUCUUUUU